rnacentral:rRNA from 1 species
AUUACUAAGCGGAGGAAAAGAAACUAACUAGGAUUCCCCCAGUAACGGCGAGUGAAGUGGGAAAAGCCCAUCACCGAAUCCCCUGUGCCGAGAGGUCAGCGGGAACUGUGGUGUUGAGGACGUCGACUGCACGGUCGGCCUGCUGCCUGAGUCUCUCUGAUUGGGGCUUCGUCCAUAGCGGGUGUAAGGCCUCUACGACGGCGGGUCGGCCGGGCUCUAGGCGUCCCUGGAGUCGGGUUGUUUGGGAAUGCAGCCUAAAGCGGGUGGUAAACUCCAUCUAAGGCUAAAUACUGACACGAGACCGAUAGCGGACAAGUACCGUGAGGGAAAGUUGAAAAGGACUUUGAAGAGAGAGUU